UGAAAGAGAGUUGUUAUGUGAAUUUUUUAUCAGUACAGAUUACUUCACAACUUUCGAUUCGUUGUAGAAGUGUUAUGUAAAGAGAAUACUUAUAUUCUUUCAGCUUAUAUAUAUAAUUGCUAUUACUUGUUGGGCACUCAAAUGCUCAUCCUUGCUUAAAUUAAAUGUUUUCAGUUAUGUAUGAGCAACCUGAAGGCUCAG
rnacentral:lncRNA from 1 species